AUGCCCCCGUAGCGGCGAGUGAGCGGCAGAGCUCAGAUUUGAAAUCGUGUUUCGGCACGAGUUGUAGAGUGUAGGCGGGAGUCUCUGUGGAGCGCGGUGUCCAAGUCCCUUGGAACAGGGUGCCUGAGAGGGUGAGAGCCCCGUAGGGUGCUGCGCGAAGCUUUUGAGGCCCUGCUGACGAGUCGAGUUGUUUGGGAAUGCAGCUCCAAGCGGGUGGUAAAUUCCAUCUAAGGCUAAAUAUUGGCGAGAGACCGAUAGCGAACAAGUACUGUGAAGGAAAGAUGAAAAGCACUUUGAAAAGAGAGUGAAACAGCACGUGAAAUUGUUGAAAGGGAAGGGUAUUGGG
rnacentral:rRNA from 1 species